AAACUACUCCCUCCGUUCGGAAUUACUUGUCGUGGAAAUGGAUGUAUCUAGAUGUAUUUUAGUUCUAGAUACAUCCAUUUUCGAGACAAGUAAUUCCGAACGGAGGGAGUACAAC
rnacentral:pre_miRNA from 1 species